rnacentral:rRNA from 1 species
GGAGCUUGCUCCUCGGGUGACGAGUGGCGGACGGGUGAGUAAUGUCUGGGGAUCUGCCCGAUAGAGGGGGAUAACCACUGGAAACGGGGGCUAAUACCGCAUAACGUCGCAAGACCAAAGAGGGGGACCUUCAGGCCUCUCACUAUCGGAUGAACCCAGAUGGGAUUAGCUAAUAGGCGGGGUAACGGCCCACCUAGGCGACGAUCCCUAGCUGGUCUGAGAGGAUGACCAGCCACACUGGAACUGAGACACGGUCCAGACUCCUACGGGAGGCAGCAGUGGGGAAUAUUGCACAAUGGGCGCAAGCCUGAUGCAGCCAUGCCGCGUGUAUGAAGAAGGCCUUCGGGUUGUAAAGUACUUUCAGCGGGGAGGAAGGCGAUGUGGUUAAUAACCGCGUCGAUUGACGUUACCCGCAGAAGAAGCACCGGCUAACUCCGUGCCAGCAGCCGCGGUAAUACGGAGGGUGCAAGCGUUAAUCGGAAUUACUGGGCGUAAAGCGCACGCAGGCGGUCUGUUAAGUCAGAUGUGAAAUCCCCGGGCUUAACCUGGGAACUGCAUUUGAAACUGGCACGCUUGAGUCUCGUAGAGGGGGGUAGAAUUCCAGGUGUAGCGGUGAAAUGCGUAGAGAUCUGGAGGAAUACCGGUGGCGAAGACGGCCCCCUGGGCGAAAACUGACGCUCAUGUGCGAAAGUUUGGGAGCACACAUGAUAGAUAC